CACGUAGGGGGCGAGCGUUGUCCGGAUUUAUUGGGCGUAAAGAGCUCGUAGGCGGCUCGGUAAGUCAGGUGUGAAACCUCCAGGCUCAACCUGGAGACGCCACCUGAUACUGCCGUGGCUAGAGUCCGGUAGAGGAGCGUAGAAUUCCUGGUGUAGCGGUGAAAUGCGCAGAUAUCAGGAGGAAUACCAACGGCGAAGGCAGCACUCUGGGCUGGAACUGACGCUGAGGAGCGAAAGCGUGGGUAGCAAACAGG
rnacentral:rRNA from 1 species